rnacentral:lncRNA from 1 species
UUACAGUAAAACAGAUAGCAAGAUAUAUUUUCUCAUUCUGUGUUGUGACUUUGACCUUAUAUAGUCUCAGAGCAUCUUAGAAAUAAGCAUUAGUAUUAGUCCUUGAUCGCAUACUUUGCACUCAUUCUGCAUUUGAGGCCAGAUUUUCUUUUUGAUCCCUUUUGACUUAGAAUAACUCAUUUGAAAAGCUGUAUUUAAAUAGUAUUUGAGCUUUGCUUCUUAAGUGGUUGAACUCAAGUCUUUGUUCCCUGAUUCUUAGGUUUUUAUUACUGCUUUUAUUAACAGUUCAUCUGACUUGACGUGAUACAGUCCAAUUUGACUUGAUGGUUGAACUUCAUUGCUUGAAGACUGACAAGAUAAGUAUUGGUUGUGUGGAGAGGCAGUAUUGGCUGUCGCAUAUAUGGUUUUAGUAUCAAAAUAAGGUCUAUUAGCCUUCUUCCUUCUACUCUCUGUUAAAACGUGUAAAAGAUGGUGUAGAAGUCUGAAAGUGAGAUGGCUGAUAGAGUGCAGGUGCAGCAGGAGCCACCUUUCAUCUGUGACACAUUCAGUUGAUGGCUGCCUCUCUGAUCUAAAACUAGUUUGUUUCUCUCGUUAUAGCGGUGAAGUAAGAUCUGAGAAGAGGGAGUACAGCAUGAACUUUUCAGAUGAAGUUCCUUUGGGAGAUAAGGUCUCCCAGAUCAACAGUUCUGCGCUAUGCAAAAAAUAUGAUGAGACAUCUUGGGCACUAAAGGAAAACUGGUGUUGGGAAGGAGCAGCCUUGCGCUGGACAAUUCCACUUCAUUCGGUGCGGUUUCCGCUUCCGGACAGAGAGGUCAUCGUUCAUUUUUAAGAGA